rnacentral:rRNA from 1 species
AAUAAACGUUGGCGGUGCGCCUUAUGCAUGCAAGUCGAACGGGGUUAUGGUUUUCGGAUUGUAACCUAGUGGCAGACGGCUGAGUAAUACGUAAGUAACCCGCCUUGGAGUGGGAAAUAACCUGCCGAAAGGCGAGCUAAUAUCCCAUGUGGUAAUGAAGCGUAAGCUUCGUUAUUAAAGCUUUCGGGCGCUCCAAGAAGGGCUUGCGUCUGAUUAGCUAGUUGGUAGGGUAAUGGCUUACCAAGGCGAUGAUCAGUAGCUGGUCUGAGAGGAUGGUCAGCCAGAUGGGGACUGAGACACGGCCCCAACUCCUACGGGAGGCUG